rnacentral:rRNA from 1 species
AUUGAACGCUGGCGGCAGGCCUAACACAUGCAAGUCGAACGGUAGCACAGAGAGCUUGCUCUCGGGUGACGAGUGGCGGACGGGUGAGUAACGUCUGGGAAACUGCCCGAUGGAGGGGGAUAACUACUGGAAACGGUAGCUAAUACCGCAUAACGUCGCAAGACCAAAGUGGGGGACCUUCGGGCCUCACACCAUCGGAUGUGCCCAGAUGGGAUUAGCUAGUAGGUGGGGUAAUGGCUCACCUAGGCGACGAUCCCUAGCUGGUCUGAGAGGAGGACCAGCCACACGGGAACUGGGACACGGGCCAGAGUCCUACGGGAGGCAGCAGUGGGGAAUAUUGCACGAUGGGCGCAAGCCUGAUGCAGCCAUGCCGCGUGUAUGAAGAAGGCCUUCGGGUUGUAAAGUACUUUCAGCGGGGAGGAAGGCGGUGAAGUUAAUAGCUUCACCGAUUGACGUUACCCGCAGAAGAAGCACCGGCUAACUCCGUGCCAGCAGCCGCGGUAA